rnacentral:rRNA from 1 species
GAUGAACGCUGGCGGCGUGCCUAAUACAUGCCAGUCGAGCGAACAGACGAGGAGCUUGCUCCUCUGACGUUAGCGGCGGACGGGUGAGUAACACGUGGAUAACCUACCUAUAAGACUGGGAUAACUUCGGGAAACCGGAGCUAAUACCGGAUAAUAUAUUGAACCGCAUGGUUCAAUAGUGAAAGACGGUUUUGCUGUCACUUAUAGAUGGAUCCGCGCCGCAUUAGCUAGUUGGUAAGGUAACGGCUUACCAAGGCAACGAUGCGUAGCCGACCUGAGAGGGUGAUCGGCCACACUGGAACUGAGACACGGUCCAGACUCCUACGGGAGGCAGCAGUAGGGAAUCUUCCGCAAUAGGCGAAAGCUUGACGGAGCAACGCCGCGUGAGUGAUGAAGGUCUUCGGAUCGUAAAACUCUGUUAUUAGGGAAGAACAAAUGUGUAAGUAACUAUGCACGUCUUGACGGUACCUAAUCAGAAAGCCACGGCUAACUACGUG